AUGACAGAGACUGAUGAAGCUCACCAUAUUACAGCUAAAAGAAUCAAGGAGGAAUAUCUGGAAGAUUUUUCAGAUGAUGAACCAUUGAGUAAAGUCUCAAAGAAACAUGAUCCAAAACCUCAGAGAUGGACCAAAACAGCAAACCUGCCAAUGAGACCCAGAAGAGAAAGGAGGGCAACAAUGAAAACGGUUAAUUAUAAAGAGGCUUCCAGUGACAGCUCUGACGAUACACUGACAGAGCAAAAGUCAACCAUGACAGAGACUGGUGAAGCUCACCAUAUUACAGCUAAAAGAAUCAAGGAGGAAUAUCUGGAAGAUACCACUGACGACUCAGAUGACGAAGCAGUGACAGAAAUGAAGACAACCAAGGCAGAGACUGGUGAAGCUCAUGAUUUCACUGCUAUAAUAAUCAAGGAGGAAUAUCUGGAAGACACCAUUGACAACUCAGAUGACGAAGCAGUGACAGGAAUGAAGACAACCAAGGCAGAGACUGGUGAAGCUCAUGAUAUCACUGCUAUAAGAAUCAAGGAGGAAUAUCUGGAAGAUACCACUGACAACUCAGAUGACGAAGCAGUGACAGGAAUGAAGACAACCAAGGCAGAGACUGGUGAAGCUCAUGAUUUCACUGCUAUAAUAAUCAAGGAGGAAUAUCUGGAAGACACCAUUGACAACUCAGAUGACGAAGCAGUGACAGGAAUGAAGUCAACCAAGGCAGAGACUGGUGAAGCUCAUGAUAUCACUGCUAUAAGAAUCAAGGAGGAAUAUCUGGAAGACACCACUGACAACUCAGAUGACGAAGCAGUGACAGGAAUGAAGACAACCAAGGCAGAGACUGGUGAAGCUCAUGAUAUCACUGCUAUAAGAAUCAAGGAGGAAUAUCUGGAAGGUAGGACGCCUUUUGUGUGGUUUUCCUGAAAGAAUGAGCACAUUUUCUUCCUUGGGUCAAAAAGUUCCUUUUUGAGUUUCUAAUUGCAAAAUGACAGCUGCAGUUUUUUGAAAGAACAAUAGAAAGAAGCUGCCACAUAAUACACACAAUUUUUUAAUAAUCUUUUAAGUUUUGUUAACAUUGUGAUAGCUAAGAAACCAGUGACAGAGAUCAACUAAAGUCCAACAGCUCCCCAUCUGCUGGUACAAAG
rnacentral:lncRNA from 1 species